rnacentral:rRNA from 1 species
GACGAACGCUGGCGGCGUGCUUAACACAUGCAAGUCGAACGGAAAGGCCUCUUUUGGGGGGUAUUCUCGAGUGGCAAAGGUGAGUAUAACAUGUGUGUCAUCUCCUCGACACUGGGGUAAAACUACGGAAAUGUGGCUCUAAUACGAGAUGAGAUCCUCUUGUGUGUGGGGGGGUGGGAAGAUUUGGCGGUUGGGGAUGGGCUCGCGGCUUAUCAGAUUGUUGGGGGGGUGGUGGCUUACCCAAGCUUUGUCGGGUAGCCGGGCUUGGAGGGUGUACGGCCACAUUGGGACUUGGAUUCGGCCCAGACCCCUACGGGGGGCAGGAGGUGGGAAUUUUGCACAAUGGGGGGAAGCCUGAUGCAGCAACGCCGGGGGCGGGAAGACGGCCUUCGGGUUGGAAACCGCUUUCGCCCAGUACGAAGCUGUGUGUGACGGUAGUGGGUAAAGAAGCACCGGCUAACUACGUG